UACGGAGGAUCCGAGCGUUAUCCGGAUUUAUUGGGUUUAAAGGGUGCGUAGGCGGCCUAUUAAGUCAGGGGUGAAAGACGGUAGCUUAACUAUCGCAGUGCCUUUGAUACUGAUGGGCUUGAAUGUAGUUGAGGUAGGCGGAAUGUGACAAGUAGCGGUGAAAUGCAUAGAUAUGACACAGAACACCGAUUGCGAAGGCAGCUCACAAAAACUGUAACUGACGCUGAGGCACGAAAGCGUGGGUAUCAAACAGG
rnacentral:rRNA from 1 species